CUUGCUUGGGGUACUCGAGUGGCGAACGGGUGAGUAAUACGUGGGUAACCUGCCCUCUUCUUUGGGAUAAGCCCCGGAAACGGGGUCUAAUACCGGAUAUUCUGCUUCUGCCGCAUGGUGGGGGUUGGAAAGGUUUUUCGGUGGGGGAUGGGCCCGCGGCCUAUCAGCUUGUUGGUGGGGUGAUGGCCUACCAAGGCCUCGACGGGUAGCCGGCCUGAGAGGGUGACCGGCCACAUUGGGACUGAGAUACGGCCCAGACUCCUACGGGAGGCAGCAGCC
rnacentral:rRNA from 1 species